rnacentral:rRNA from 1 species
GGUUUCCGUAGGUGAACCUGCGGAAGGAUCAUUAACGAGUUAUUGAACAGGUUGUAGCUGGCCUUCAGGGGCAUGUGCACGCCUGGCUCAUCCACUCUUCAACCUCUGUGCACCUGUUGUAGGUCGGUGGAAGGGUAAGUCUAAGCGAUUGGACUUGCUUGGAAGCCUUCCUAUGUUUUUACAAACGCUUCAGUCUAAGAAUGUAUCUCUGCGUAUAACGCAUUUAUAUACAACUUUCAGCAACGGAUCUCUUGGCUCUCGCAUCGAUGAAGAACGCAGCGAAAUGCGAUAAGUAAUGUGAAUUGCAGAAUUCAGUGAAUCAUCGAAUCUUUGAACGCACCUUGCGCUCCCUGGUAUUCCGGGGAGCAUGCCUGUUUGAGUGUCAUGGUAUUCUCAACCUUCAUAACUUUUGUUAUCGAAGGCUUGGAUUUGGAGGUUGUGCUGGCUUCUCGUUAAGUCGGCUCCUCUUAAAAGCAUUAGCGUGAGUGUAACGGAUCGCUUCGGUGUGAUAAUUAUCUGCGCCGUGGUCGUGAAGUAACAUAAGCUUGCGCUUCUAAUCGUCCUUCAGCUGGACAAUUUACUCUGACAUCUGACCUCAAAUCAGGUAGGACUACCCGCU